rnacentral:rRNA from 1 species
CUAGCCGUAAACGAUGGAUACUAGGCGUUGUGAGUAUCGACCCUCACAGUGUCGUAGCUAACGCGUUAAGUAUCCCGCCUGGGGAGUAUGCGCGCAAGCGUGAAACUCAAAGGAAUUGACGGGGGCCCGCACAAGCGGUGGAGUAUGUGGUUUAAUUCGAUGCAACGCGAAGAACCUUACCAGGACUUGACAUGUCGCGAAUCUCAGGGAAACUUGAGAGUGCCUUCGGGAGCGCGAACACAGGUGGUGC